UGGGGAAUUUUGGACAAUGGGCGAAAGCCUGAUCCAGCAAUGCCGCGUGAGUGAAGAAGGCCUUCGGGUUGUAAAGCUCUUUUGUCAGGGAAGAAACGGUGAGAGCUAAUAUCUCUUGCUAAUGACGGUACCUGAAGAAUAAGCACCGGCUAACUACGUGCCAGCAGCCGCGGUAAUACGUAGGGUGCAAGCGUUAAUCGGAAUUACUGGGCGUAAAGCGUGCGCAGGCGGUUUUGUAAGUCUGAUGUGAAAUCCCCCGGCUCAACCUGGGAAUGGCAUUGGAGACUGGAUGGCUAGAAUGUGGCAGAGGGAAGUAGAAUUCCACGUGUAGCGGUGAAAUGCGUAGAGAUGUGGAGGAACACCGAUGGCGAAGGCGGCUCCCUGGGUCAAGACUGACGCUCAGGCACGAAAGCGUGGGGAGCAAACA
rnacentral:rRNA from 1 species